rnacentral:rRNA from 1 species
AACGAACGUUGGCGGCGUGGAUUAGGCAUGCAAGUCGUGGGACGGCUGGGGGCAACUCCAGUCGACCGGCGUAAGGGGUAGUUAUGCAUGGGUAACCAUCCCUCCAGAUGGGGAUAACACCGAGAAAUCGGUGCUAAUACCCAGCGCCGUUGCGAUGGGGCAUCCUGUUGCAACGAAAGGUGUGAUUCCGCUGGAGGACGGGCUCAUGUGGUAUUAGCUAGUUGGUAGGGUAACGGCCUACCAAGGCUACGAUGCCUAGGGGGUGUUAGCGCACGACCCCCACCACUGGGACUGAGACACUGCCCAGACACCUACGGGUGGCUGCAGUCGAGAAUCUUCGGCAAUGAGCGCAAGCUUGACCGAGCGACGCCGCGUGGAGGAUGAAGGCCUUCGGGUUGUAAACUCCUGUCAGGGGGGAGGAAAGCUAGGCGGGCUCUCCCGUUUAGUUGACCUAGCCUCAGAGGAAGGACGGGCUAAUUCGUGCCAGCAGCCGCGGUAAUGCGAAUCGUCCAAACGUUGUUCGGAUUUACUGGGUUUAAAGGGCGCGUAGGCGGUGCGUUAAGUCGGCGGUGAAAUACUUCGGCUCAACCGGAGAAUUGCCGCUGAAACUGGCGUGCUCGAGGGAGGUAGAGGUGCGUGGAACUUCCGGUGGAGCGGUGAAAUGCGUUGAUAUCGGAAGGAACACCUGUGGCGAAAGCGAUGCACUGGACCUCAUCUGACGCUGAGGCGCGAAAGCCAGGGGAGCGAACGGGAUUAGAUACCCCGGUAGUCCUGGCCAUAAACGAUGGGGACUAGAGAGUAGAUGCUCCGAUGUAUUUACUCUCGAAGCAAAAGUGAUAAGUCCCCCACCUGGGGAGUAUGGUCGCAAGGCUG